AACCAGUCGAGGCCAGGGGGUU
rnacentral:miRNA from 1 species